UGGAUCUGACUUUGACUGAGCAGGAAGGAGGAUCUUUGCUUUGGCAACUUUCCCAUGUUAAUCCUAAAUUUGUGGAAAGAUUAGUGAUUCCUUGGUUUGAUAAUUUGCCUUGGAGUAUACGGCCUUUUCCCUGAAGUACAGAGACAAUCUGCCUGAGAUCCAUCUGUCAGAAAUACACUUGGCUAAGGUCAUGCUUUGCUGUCCCUGAAGAGGUCCCUAGGUGAAACAUAUUGCCUUCAAGAAAAUGUCUCAACUCGAGUAGAUGAAAAAUGGUUUAGCCUGAACAUUUAGAAGAGUGAAAAUACAUCAAAGGCCUAAGGAAAUGUCAUUGAAGGAAAUAACAGUAACUGCCUGCAGAACAUAACAGGUUUCAUUUUGAAAUAGAUUUUCAGCCAGUUGGCAUGCUGCCAUUUUAAUCAUAUCACCUAAGGAAAGCUAGAAAUACAAGAAGGUUAGCUGUCAUGAUGCCCUCUUUUUCAUAUGGAUGUUUGACCUGAGUUAGAAAUGAGAGGAUGAUAUCAUUUAUAAGGAAUCCCUUUUUAAUUUUGGACCUUGUGGACAAUAUCCUCCUUGACACUAGCAAACAUCUUUGCUGAUGAUUGGGGAAAGGAAGUUCAAAGAAGUUAUAUGUAUGACUUGUUCAUAUCCAUAGAGCUAAUAAGCAUCAGAGCAGAAAGUAAGGCCAGAAUUAGAGAAGAAUAUCAGAACUAGAAAGAUUCACAGUAAGCAAGAAGUUAACUUUUAAUUGUGUUUCUUGAAAAAUAAUUCCCACUACAUCAUAAAUAUAAAGUGGUCAUCUUUGUUCUGCAUUCUUUGGCAAGAAAGAACAAAGCUAAUCUUUUUAUGUGACAACUAUUCAAAUAGAUGAGGAUGUGUUAUGUGCUUUUCUAGGCACAUCUUCAUUUUCUUCAUAUUAACUUCAUAUUGAAUGGAUAAAAUACACAUGGGCAUGCACACACAUACACACACAGAAACCCAAAUUAGAAAAUACAAAAUAAACAGAAGAUAUAAAAAAGAAGAGAAAUACAUUAUAAACUGAAAUAUCUGUAGCCUAGUCAACGAAAUUAAAUGUUCUUUCCUUGAAAGACUGAUGAUGUUUAUCAAA